rnacentral:misc_RNA from 1 species
UUUCUAAGGAUGAUCAAGAAUUGGGAUAGUUCCCUUUUUGAUCUCACUAGACAAUAAAGGUUUUAAGCAAAAUUGUUUAAACCUUGUGCAUAUGACGCUAACUCUCUAUGAAAUCUCCCCUCUUAUUGAAGAGAAGCUCUUUGUAACAAAAGAGCCCCCAUCUCUCGAGGUCCCCUACCUCCCUAUAAGAGAAGUUUCAUGAGUGUUUAGUGCCAUGUGUGAACAAUUAAAUGCGGACUAGCCGUCUUCGUUUCUCUUUCUUCAGAUGAUGAUCCCAAGCCUUCUGGCGCUCUUGUAAGAGAAAGCUGCUUUUAAAAAGCUUUCAGGAAGAAGAGUUUUUAAAAAGCUUUUCCAUAAGAUAAUGCCGGGGAAGGUUUUCCGGUUUAUCCCGGAGGGCUUGUAGCUCAGUUGGUUAGAGCGCGCGCUUGAUAAGCGUGAGGUCGGAGGUUCAAGUCCUCCCAGGCCCACCACUUUAAUCCAUCCCACUUUAUUCAUCCAUUGAAGAAGGCUUCUGAGAAGCCUUUUUAUAAGAAUGUAACGCUUAUCUUUUUUCCUUAAAGCUUAAAGCAAUUCAAAAGCAAAAAGAUCUCUGUUAAACGGAUUUUAAUUUGAAAAAUUUGGCAUGCGUUAUGUUGUUUAGGGGCCGUAGCUCAGCUGGGAGAGCACCUGCUUUGCAAGCAGGGGGUCGUCGGUUCGAUCCCGUCCGGCU